rnacentral:rRNA from 1 species
CGAAGGAUCCAAGCGUUGUCCGGAUUUACUGGGUUUAAAGGGAGCGUAGGCGGACUAUUAAGUCAGUGGUGAAAGCUUGCAGCUUAACUGUAAAAUUGCCAUUGAAACUGAUAGUCUUGAAUAUGGUUGAGGUGGUUGGAAUAUAUCAUGUAGCGGUGAAAUGCUUAGAUAUGAUAUAGAACACCGAUUGCGAAGGCAGAUCACUAAACCAUUAUUGACGCUGAGGCUCGAAAGCGUGGGGAGCAAACAGGAUUAGAUACCCUGGUAGUCCACGCUGUAAACGAUGGGCACUAGGUGUGGGGGGUAUCGACUCCCUCCGUGCCGAAGCUAACGCAUUAAGUGCCCCGCCUGGGGAGUACGGCCGCAAGGCUA